rnacentral:sRNA from 1 species
GUCCGCACCCUUUGAUGGGGCGGGGAUAGGCGAGAAGGUCCUGUGGUUCUCUGCCUUCUUCUGGUGAAUUAAAAUCCGAUUUGGAAGAGGGAAGGGCAGCCAGCACCAGUAUGCACAGCCCCCGGCCCCAGAGACCCGGGAAGGAGUAGGGAGGCCGGGCCGUGCGCGGAGGAGUGGCCACUGGGUUGGAAACCCGGCCCGGCAGGGAGCGGGGAAGGCGCGCUUUCCCGGAGAAGAGGACUGUCAGAAGGACGUAGAAGGCACAGUUUUACUGUGAGGAGCAAAGAUUCUUUACCUACGCAUUUUACAAGAAAUGUGCAGAAAGCCAUUGAUAAAUACACCUGCGAAUCCUUGUCAUCCUUUUCCUCCAGCGGAAGCCAUACACCCACGGGAGCCCACACCUCUUGGUCUGGGUCGGCCACACAGAGCUCUACCACCGGCUCAUCCACGGAGAGGGGCUCCAUUUAUUCCUGGAGAGAUGACGAAUUUGACGAAGCCAGUUCACAGUCAGUGCAGCGGUUACUCUGGGAGGUGGAGGAAAUGUUAUUUGAAGGGAAAGUGAACCCUCAGACCCAGAGUCUGCUGGCCGAAUGCGGGGAGUGGACAAGAAGAUCCCUCCAUUUGAGAGUAUUAGGAAGACAGCUGAUCCUGCCCACUGACGAAGGCGUCCAGCAUUUCCAGGGCAGCACUCCUGCCUCCGCAGUCCACAGACCCCCGCUCAGUGCCUGCGGACACAGCAGCAACAUCAGAGAGUUGUGCGUUUCUGGCUCUCAAAUAGUCCCAGCAGCGCUCUCAGCCUCUGCCCUGCCAGGCCCUGAUGACACAGGGGUUGCUGACCUAACGGCACGUUCAUCCCUGGAAGAAGAGGUUUACCAUGUGGAUGGAAAGAUUGAGGAGUAUUUCGCUUUUGACAGAAAAGAGGAUGAUGAUGAAUGUCUUGAACAAAAACCAGCUCAGCCCGGUAGGAAAUGGCACGAACUCGGACUUCCUCCUGUUUCCCCGCGUGACUGUGUCAAAGAUGCCGUGGCAGCAGAAGUGUUUGAUCACGUCUGGACAAAUAUGGUAGAACUUUUGGAAGAGCUGAUUAGAAAACACUGGGAAACUACACUCACAGAAGGGAAAAAACAGAGAGAAACAUUGAAAGUGGCUGGAAACAGAUUUCCGCACGUCCUCAUUCCACGCGCUCACGCCGAUGGAGCCAGUGGCCCCCCGUCCGGACGCUCCGAGGCUCACGGCAUCUCCCUGGCUUCUCGUCCGAACCCGCCCCAGUGUCACAGUGCCUGGAGCCCUUGACGUCCUGCCUCUGAAGGACGAGGAUGUGCUCAAGUUCCUUGCGGUAGGAGCGCACGCAGGCGGCACCACCCUCGGCUUCCAGAUGGAGCAGUAUAUCCACAAAAGGACGGACCAGCGACGGCAUCUCUGUCAUAAAUCUGAAGGGACCUGGGAGAAGCUGCUGCUGGCAGCUCGUGCCAUUGUUGCUGUUGAACCCUGCUGAGGUCCCUGUCUUGCUCCAGGAACACUGGCCGGCAGGCUGUGCUGAAGCUCACUGCUGCCACCAGAGCCACUCCAGCUGCUGGCCGCUUCUCUCCUGGAAACUUCCCUCGCCAGACCCAGGCAGCCUUCCGGGAGCCAUGUCUGCUGGUCCCAUGUCUACUGAUCCCAGGCGACCACCUGCCUCUCAGAGAGGCGUCUUGGCUAACCCACCUCCCAUUGCUCUGUGGAACACAGAUUCUCCUCUGUGCUGUGUGGAAGUCACCAUCCGGUGCAACAAGGGAGCUCACUCAGUGGGCCUGAAGGGGUGGCUGC